GCAUGGCCGUAAACAUUGAUGACAAUAUUACAUUUUAUCCGCCCGGGAACUACAAACAUUAGUUUAAAACCCAAAGGACUUGGCGGUGCUUUAGACCCCCCUAGAGGAGCCUGUUCUAGAACUGAUAACCCCCGUUAAACCUCACCCUCUCUUGCUAUUUCCGCUUAUAUACCGCCGUCGUCAGCUUACCCUGUGAAGGUAAAAUAGUGAGCAAAAUUAGUAUAACUUAAAACGCCAGGUCGAGGUGUAGUAUAUGGGAGGGGAAGAAAUGGGCUACAUUCGCUUAUUAGCGAAUUACGAAUAAUCUAUUGAAACAUGGAUUUGAAGGAGGAUUUAGCAGUAAAAGAGAAGUAGAGUGUCCCUUUGAAAUUGGCCCUGAAGCGCG
rnacentral:rRNA from 1 species